GAUGAACGCUGGCGGCGUGCCUAAUACAUGCAAGUCGAGCGAACAGACGAGGAGCUUGCUCCUCUGACGUUAGCGGCGGACGGGUGAGUAACACGUGGAUAACCUACCUAUAAGACUGGGAUAACUUCGGGAAACCGGAGCUAAUACCGGAUAAUAUAUUGAACCGCAUGGUUCAAUAGUGAAAGACGGUUUUGCUGUCACUUAUAGAUGGAUCCGCGCCGCAUUAGCUAGUUGGUAAGGUAAUGGCUUACCAAGGCAACGAUGCGUAGCCGACCUGAGAGGGUGAUCGGCCACACUGGAACUGAGACACGGUCCAGACUCCUACGGGAGGCAGCAGUAGGGAAUCUUCCGCAAUGGGCGAAAGCUUGACGGAGCAACGCCGCGUGAGUGAUGAAGGUCUUCGGAUCGUAAAACUCUGUUAUUAGGGAAGAACAAAUGUGUAAGUAACUAUGCACGUCUUGACGGUACCUAAUCAGAAAGCCACGGCUAACUACGUG
rnacentral:rRNA from 1 species